GUCAGACAGGGAAUUAACAAUCAGAAAUGCCAAUGCAGUCACAGCAGACACUCUUGGAUAGUCUCUGGAGCUCACCGUUUCCCAUCCCACCUGUCCCCGCCGACCUGUGCUGAGCGUUGUCUGUGGGACUUGCUGGCACCAGCAAGGUGGGGAGGGGCCACACCUCAUUUCCGUAGUGAAACGGAAUCGUUGGGUCCUUACUCUGUAUUUUCCUCAAGUGAGUGUACAGCACUUUGUUUCUGGUUUUCCGUUCCUCUCUCAAGCAUUAAAUAAUUGAUAACCUGUUUCUUCA